rnacentral:rRNA from 1 species
CGGAAUGACUGGGCGUAAAGCGCACGCAGGCGGUUUGUUAAGUCAGAUGUGAAAUCCCCGAGCUUAACUUGGGAACUGCAUUUGAAACUGGCAAGCUAGAGUCUUGUAGAGGGGGGUAGAAUUCCAGGUGUAGCGGUGAAAUGCGUAGAGAUCUGGAGGAAUACCGGUGGCGAAGGCGGCCCCCUGGACAAAGACUGACGCUCAGGUGCGAAAGCGUGGGGAGCAAAACAGGAUUAGAUACCCUGGUAGUCCACGCUGUAAACGAUGUCGAUUUGGAGGUUGUGCCCUUGAGGCGUGGCUUCCGGAGCUAACGCGUUAAAUCGACCGCCUGGGGAGUACGGCCGCAAGGUUAAAACUCAAAUGAAUUGACGGGGGCCCGCACAAGCGGUGGAGCAUGUGGUUUAAUUCGAUGCAACGCGAAGAACCUUACCUACUCUUGACAUCCACAGAAUUCGGUAGAGAUACCUUAGUGCCUUCGGGAACUGUGAGACAGGUGCUGCAUGGCUGUCGUCAGCUCGUGUUGUGAAAUGUUGGGUUAAGUCCCGCAACGAGCGCAACCCUUAUCCUUUGUUGCCAGCGGUUCGGCCGGGAACUCAAAGGAGACUGCCAGUGAUAAACUGGAGGAAGGUGGGGAUGACGUCAAGUCAUCAUGGCCCUUACGAGUAGGGCUACACACGUGCUACAAUGGCGUAUACAAAGAGAAGCGACCUCGCGAGAGCAAGCGGACCUCAUAAAGUACGUCGUAGUCCGGAUUGGAGUCUGCAACUCGACUCCAUGAAGUCGGAAUCGCUAGUAAUCGUAGAUCAGAAUGCUACGGUGAAUACGUUCCCGGGCCUUGUACACACCGCCCGUCACACCAUGGGAGUGGGUUGCAAAAGAAGUAGGUAGCUUAACCUCGGG